rnacentral:lncRNA from 1 species
CAAAAAAUUAACUGGGCGUGGUGGCACACGCCUGUAAUCCCAGCUACAUAUGAGGCUGAGGCAAGAGAAUAACUUGAACCCAGGAGGCGGAGGGUGCAGUGAGCUGAGAUCCUGCCGCUGCACUCCAGCCUGGGUGACAGAGCACACUCCGUCUCAAAAAAGGAAAGCUGAUGAGAAAUUGGGCAUCCCGGAAUUCACACCCAAACCAUCAGCUGGAGCUCUGAGACUGUUGGGGUGGGAAUUCUUCCAAGAUGAGAAGCAAGCCAGGGAGGCUCAGGUCCUGGGAUGGGCAGGGCUUUGAUCAAAAGAACACAGGAAGUGAUUUGCUACUUGAAAGAAAGGCAACCCCUCCCCAAGGAAGCCCUCUGAAAAUGCUUAGUCAACAGUCGGCUUGGCAGACAAGGUCUGGGAGGGGCCACCCGUAUCGCAGAGGAUGAUAGAAGAGAAAAAAAUGACACCCACCUCUGUCUGGGGAUGCUGAAAUCUUCCUGGAGGAGUGGUGAAUGCCAGGAAGAUCGCUGAAGGAUUCAAUGAAACAGUAUUUCUGAAGUCCUUUACAACAGGGUCCCCAACCCCCGGGGUCAUGGACUGCUAUCGGGCCAUGGUCUGUCUGUUAGAAACCAUGAGCCCUAUCGGGUCACAGAGCAGGAGAUGAGUGGCAGGCAAGCAAGCCCGAGCUCCACCUCCUCUCAGAUUCUCGGGGGCGCCAUUAGAUUAUCACAGGAUCGCAAACCCUGUUGUGAACUGCACACACGAGGGAUCCAGGUUGCAUGCUGCUUAUGACAAUCUAAUGCCCGGCCGGGUGCGGUGGCUCACACCUGUAAUCCUAGCACUUUGGGAGGCCGAGGCGGGCAGAUCACGAAGUCAAGAGAUAGAAACGAUCCUGGCCAACGUGGUGAGACCCCGUCUCUCCUAAAAAUACAAAAAUGAGCUGGGUGUGGUGGCACAUGCCUGUCAUCCUAGCUACUCGGGAGGCUGAGGCAGGAGAAUCGCUUGAACCCGGGAGGCGGAGGUUGCAGUGAGCCAAGAUCACACCAUUGCACUACAGCCUCGGCGACAGAGCCAGACUCCGUCUCAAAAAAAAAAAAAAAA